rnacentral:rRNA from 1 species
UACAGAGGGUGCGAGCGUUGUCCGGAAUCACUGGGCGUAAAGGGCGCGUAGGCGGCUUGGCAAGUCCAUGGUGAAAGCUCAGGCUCAACUCUGAGUCGGCCACGGAUACUGGUUGAGCUGGAGCACGGUAGAGGCAGGUGGAAUUCCGGGUGUAGCGGUGGAAUGCGUAGAGAAUCCGGAAGAACACCGGUGGCGAAGGCGGCCUGCUGGGCCGUUCGCUGACGCUGAGGCGACGACAGCGUGGGGAGCAAACAGG